CCGGCGCACGGGUGAGUAACACGUAUCCAACCUGCCGUCUACUCUUGGACAGCCUUCUGAAAGGAAGAUUAAUACAAGAUGGCAUCAUGAGUCCGCAUGUCCACAUGAUUAAAGGUAUUCCGGUAGACGAUGGGGAUGCGUUCCAUUAGAUAGUAGGCGGGGUAACGGCCCACCUAGUCUUCGAUGGAUAGGGGUUCUGAGAGGAAGGUCCCCCACAUUGGAACUGAGACACGGUCCAAACUCCUACGGGAGGCAGCAG
rnacentral:rRNA from 1 species